rnacentral:rRNA from 1 species
GCAGUGAUGCAGAGCAAAUCCCCAAAAGCAGUCUUAGUUCGGAUUGUAGGCUGCAACUCGCCUACAUGAAGUCGGAAUUGCUAGUAAUCGCGGAUCAGCAUGCCGCGGUGAAUACGUUCCCGGGCCUUGUACACACCGCCCGUCACACCAUGGGAGUCGGUAACACCCGAAGCCUGUAGUCUAACCGCAAGGAGGACGCAGUCGAAGGUGGGAUUGAUGACUGGGGUGAAGUCGUAACAAGGUACC